GCUCAAAUUUGAAAUCUCAGCGCAAGCUGCGAAUUGUAGUUUAGAGAAACGUUUUCGGGGCCGGCGCCAGUACAAGUUCUUUGGAACAAGGCAUCACAGAGGGUGAAAAUCCCGUCUUUGACUGGCUGCUUGGUUCCAUGUGAUACGUUUUCCAAGAGUCGGUUUGUUUGGGAAUGCAGACCAAAAUGGGUGGUAAAUACCAUCUAAAGCUAAAUAUUGGCGAGAGACCGAUAGCGAACAAGUACCGUGAGGGAAAGAUGAAAAGAACUUUGAAAAGAGAGUUAAACAGUGCGUGAAAUUGUCAAAAGGGAAACGUUUAAAACCAGUAUUGCGGGCAGAAACUCAGGUUCCAUUUAUGGUGCUGUAUUUUUCUGUCGGCGAGUCAACAUCAGUUUUGCUUGGAGUAAAACGCCAGGGGAAGGUAGCCUUCGGGUGUUAUAGCCUCUGGUAAUGCUCUGGGCGGGACUGAGGACUGCAGCGUUCUUUGGGUUUACCACACCAACGCUUAGGAUGUUGACGAAAUGGUUUUAAGCGACCCGUCUUGAAACACGGACCAAGGAGUCUAACAUAUAUGCGAGUAUUUGGGUGGCAAACCCUUAUGCGUAAUGAAAGUGAAAAGGUGGGAUCCUUUGCUGGUGCACCAUCGACCGCGCCAGAUUAUUGCUAUCUCGGCGUGAGUAUGAGCAUACAUGUUGGGACCCGAAAGAUGGUGAACUAUGCCUGAAUAGGGUGAAGCCAGAGG
rnacentral:rRNA from 2 species